AUUUUCGCAACCCCUUCACCCUCUCGACAAAACACUCUGCUGUUGCCAAUCUAUUUCACUUAGCAGCCGCAACACUCAAAACCCUAGAGAAGAGCGUGCAAGUUUUGGCUACCCACCCACCAUGACAUUCAAGCGCAGGAAUGGAGGCCGCAACAAACACGGCCGCAGUCGCCAUCGCCCUCUCCAACCUCUCCCUCCCCUCUGACUACGUCGUCGCCAUGGACCUCUCGUGCCUCGCCCACGGCCUCUCCGCCAAAACCCUAGCCUCUCGCUAUUCCCUUGAACCCUACCUCGUCUCCAAAAUCACCAACAUGGUCACGCGCCUCCUCGCCACCAAGCUCUACCCGGAGUUCAUUAAGAUCCCGGUGGGGCGGUGCCGCCUCCUAGAAACCACCCAGGCCUUCGAGGAACUCCCUCCCCAACAUGUGCGGCGCCAUCGACACCACCCCCGUCCACCUCCACUCCUACCCUAACCCUAACACCUACCGCCACCGACGACGCCCCCCACUUUCGCAUAAUAGGAAAAUGGGUACCAUGCAUUAUGUGUUUAAUGCUUCCAGCAUCACUCUUUCUAGUCUUGGGUCUAAGUUUAUAUUUCUUGAUGGUCAUGAUUAUAACUAUCAAGCAAGAAUUACAGUUAAUGGAAAACUUGGUACUUCAUGGAAAAAAAAAGGAUCUCUGGUUUCUUCUGAGUUUAUUAUUAUUAGUUAACACAAUCCAAUUUUUCUUGGUACCAUUGUUUUGCUCUUAGUAUGAUAUUACAUAAUUUACAUUAGAUUAAUACUGUUAAAUUCAUCCUUAUCAUUCAAAGAAUCUGUUAGAUUAACUUCUUAUAAAUCAUUGCAGCAAAGUAUGAUGUUGCAAUAUCAACAGCAUGUCCUAGACUUGAUUAUAUUAUGGUGGAAACAACAAAUGCAGCUCAAGCAUGUGUUGAGUUACUUCGUAGAGAGAAUCUUGGCAUUGCUACUUUCAUGAUAUUGAUUUAUACAGGAAAUGGCGAAAUCACUCCUUAACUUCCUACUAACAGCUUGAGUUUUUGCCACAGCUGGUCAACGGUUUUGAACUACUUGAAGUUAAGAACAUGGUGUUAAUAGCAAUUUUAUGUUGGUUUCGAGGUGGUCUACUCCUAGGUAGCAUCCGUUUAAAUCAAAGUUGGGGAGUGAAAGGAAGUUAGAUUCUGUCAAGUUUCAGUUUAUAAAAUAAUGCCCUUGAUUGAAUACAAUUUGUUUGUCAAUGAUUGAUGAUAUAUUCAGUUAUGUAAUGUUUUUGACGUGCUGAUAGUACGCAACCCAGGUGUUUAUUUGAUAAAUAUAAUUUGGACAUCAUUUCUUUA